rnacentral:lncRNA from 1 species
GAUGAUAUUAUCAAAUGUGUAUUCAGCUAUUUAUAAUGAUAUCAGUUUGUCUAGUAGGAAAUGCCAUUAAUAUGUGUAUCACUGUAAUUGUUUGUGUGAGAGUAAUGCGUGCAUAAGGUCAUCCGAGGGAGGAGUCCGAGAUGCCAGACUUUCGGUUUUGCAGCGUUGAUACGUUUGUUUUAAAAUGGUUACUAGAGUGUCGAGAGAUUAACUUUAUUCAUGUGAACUUUUAAUUUUGGAAAUUAUUAUUAAUUGUAUUUUUUUUUUACACAUAAACAUAUUGACCAUUGUAAAAAUUUAGUAAAUUUUUGUUUUGUGGGCGGGAUGUUAUGUAUCAGCAAGGAAUUGUAUAUUUAAAAGGAAUGGAAACGCGGCCGACUUCAAAGAAAAUAUUAUGAUGCAUCUCUUGCUUUGACCGGGUGUUAAUUACACCCCAUCACUCUAACUGGCUCAUUACUUAUCUGGUAGAAGUUAUCGAACGUGGUCAUUUAAUCUGACACUAGUUAUCUAACUUGACAAUGAUAUUUUUUUCUUCUUAGGCAUGUUUCUGUAAUAAAAAAUAAUGACUAAAACAUCAUUCUAAGGGGCAUUCUGUUUCAAUUUGCUUGGCGUAAAAUAAAUCAUAUUAUUGUUAUUUUUGAAGAUAAUUCGAAAGUAGAGUAACGGUACUUACAUUGUGUAGUACGAACGUGGUAAAGUAGCUAAGUGAUAAAUCAUGAAACGAAAAAUAAAUUAAUCCAAGAAAAAAAAAUAUAACAAUACAACCACAUGC